rnacentral:tRNA from 1 species
GCUUGGCUGGCUCAGUUGCAGAGCAUGUGACUCUUGAACUUGGGGUCAUGGGUUUGAUCCCCAUGUUGGGCA